rnacentral:rRNA from 1 species
UACGGAGGGGGCUAGCGUUGUUCGGAAUUACUGGGCGUAAAGCGCACGUAGGCGCGAUUUAAGUCAGAGGUGAAAGCCCGGAGCUCAACUCCGGAACUGCCUUUGAGACUGGAUUGCUAGAAUCUUGGAGAGGCGAGUGGAAUUCCGAGUGUAGAGGUGAAAUUCGUAGAUAUUCGGAAGAACACCAGUGGCGAAGGCGGCUCGCUGGACAAGUAUUGACGCUGAGGUGCGAAAGCGUGGGGAGCAAACAGG